AGAGUUUGAUCCUGGCUCAGGAUGAACGCCGGCGGUGUGCCUAAUACAUGCAAGUCGUACGCACUGGCCCAACUGAUUAAUGGUGCUUGCACCUGAUUGACGAUGGAUCACCAGUGAGUGGCGGACGGGUGAGUAACACGUAGGUAACCUGCCCCGGAGCGGGGGAUAACAUUUGGAAACAGAUGCUAAUACCGCAUAACAACAAAAGCCACAUGGCUUUUGUUUGAAAGAUGGCUUUGGCUAUCACUCUGGGAUGGACCUGCGGUGCAUUAGCUAGUUGGUAAGGUAACGGCUUACCAAGGCGAUGAUGCAUAGCCGAGUUGAGAGACUGAUCGGCCACAAUGGAACUGAGACACGGUCCAUACUCCUACGGGAGGCAGCAGUAGGGAAUCUUCCACAAUGGGCGCAAGCCUGAUGGAGCAACACCGCGUGAGUGAAGAAGGGUUUCGGCUCGUAAAGCUCUGUUGUUGGAGAAGAACGUGCGUGAGAGUAACUGUUCACGCAGUGACGGUAUCCAACCAGAAAGUCACGGCUAACUACGUGCCAGCAGCCGCGGUAAUACGUAGGUGGCAAGCGUUAUCCGGAUUUAUUGGGCGUAAAGCGAGCGCAGGCGGUUGCUUAGGUCUGAUGUGAAAGCCUUCGGCUUAACCGAAGAAGUGCAUCGGAAACCGGGCGACUUGAGUGCAGAAGAGGACAGUGGAACUCCAUGUGUAGCGGUGGAAUGCGUAGAUAUAUGGAAGAGCACCAGUGGCGAAGGCGGCUGUCUGGUCUGCAACUGACGCUGAGGCUCGAAAGCAUGGGUAGCGAACAGGAUUAGAUACCCUGGUAGUCCAUGCCGUAAACGAUGAGUGCUAGGUGUUGGAGGGUUUCCGCCCUUCAGUGCCGGAGCUAACGCAUUAAGCACUCCGCCUGGGGAGUA
rnacentral:rRNA from 1 species